CUAUGGAACUUAUAUGAGACAUGCUAACUACACUUCAUAUUCAAAUGCAACUUGAAAGAAUUCGAAUGGUUCCCUAAAGGUCUUACAAACCUACGUUUGCCCAUUCAAGAUACACAUGUUCAACAUUUAAUUCAUGACCGUAUAUAACUGGUUUUGUGCAAAAUUGCCUUGGGAGAUUCAGAUAAAUAACUUUUAGAAGCCAU
rnacentral:rRNA from 1 species